GAAGAAACAUUUCCCCAGACUGAAGUAGUUUUAUCAAAUAUUUGGAUAAAAGACAUUCAGGAAGAGGCGUUCAACGAUGCACAGUCCACCCUGGUGGAAAUUUCACAGCAGUUCAGCCAAAGAUUCUGCAGAGGCUUGGCUUGCCAGAAGGCCUCCUGCUGUAUCGGAGCAGGGAACUAACCCAGCGUACGCGUCCAGGUUGAGAGAGGCCACGCUGUCUGCCUACAGCAGAAUCUCUCAGACGAGCACAGAUUUGACCUUGACUAUGAUCCUUCUCAUCGGGGCAGGCAAUAAGCUGAUGGUGAUCCUACGGGCAGGCGGGACACACCUUGAGCAUCCCUCAUAUCGAAGAGAGACUGAGGGUAACAACUGCGCACAGUCCUGCAGUUGCUAAAGGCCUGCACUUGCCUUUAGGCCUGCACUUGCAGGCAAAGCUGCUCCAAAGCAGCGAAGGGAAACGGGUGAAUUUGUCUUCAGUGCUGAUGUGGAAGGCUGCACGCAGGCUUCCUGUACGCACGCACAGGGUGGGGAGCAAAGGAGGGCUUAAAGAAACGAUAGGGCUGACAGGAGCCGUUUGCCCUGCUUGUUUACUGGUUCAAAUGUGGAUUCUUGUCCCGUACUUUAACUGCAGACCCCACCGAGAGGUAGUAGCACAGCGCAGCAGAAGGUGCGAACGGUAAUGUCCCUGAGGCCAUGGCAACCUGCAGCAGCAGCUGGGGAUGGCAGCCUGUUGCAGCCUUAGUCAUCUGUGCGGGGCAGAAAAUCUCUGCUCUUGCAUUACGUCUGCCCAGCUUGCGUGGUCAAAGUUGUCCAGGGCAGCUACAGACCCCUGCGCUCAGUUUUGCUAUGGGCUGGGGGUAGAGUUGUUUAGGUUCCCCCAGUUGUAUGUGCCUCUCCCUUCACCUUGAGGGGAAGGAACAUUUUCUUUUUCAUUUUCUUUUUCCUGCCCUGGUCUUCUGAGGAGUACUCCUGGCAUUUUCUACCCUUCCCCCCUGCGAUUAAAAUUUACAAUGCACGCACGUUUAAGAACCGGGAUUAAAAUUUACACGUUCUUAUCUGUAGCUUUUUCUAACUUUCUGAAUGUGUCAUUUCAAGGCUUUUUUGUUUCUGUAAGUUAAUAACAGUCUGUGAUCACGUAAGUAAGCCUGCAUUCAAAACGUGCAAGACGUAGAGGUGGCGUGGGCAGUUGAAUCUGGUGUAGCCCAACACAAAGCUUUUGUGAACAGCUGAAGGUCCGAAAGCUGCAAAUGGACAAUCCCCGUCUGCUACAGCAUACUAGUGAAGGUCUAGUUCUCAGCAAAGAGCUGGAAAUAGAAAAGGUCUUAAUUUUGUGGCUUUAGCACUAAUGUAAGUCAUGGCAAAUUUGGAAAAACUCCUCAUUCGUGUCUCCGUGUAAGAAGGAUAACGCUAAUGAAGCUUGUUCAAAGCACUGAGGAGAUGUUUAAAGAAUUAUUUAAAGUAUUAUAUAAAUGCUAAAUACUUCCUGUAAGGCUCAUGUAAUCACUUCUCUCUGAUCAGAACCUUAACAUUGUUUGGCUCUUAUUAUCGCAAAUAUCCUUUGAGAGACAGAGGGGGGGGGUGUAUGUACAACAAAUAAAAAAUGAGCUUUACUCCA
ensembl:lncRNA